GGGCUCAGGAUGAACGCUAGCGGCAGGCUUAAUACAUGCAAGUCGUGGGGCAGCAUGAGUAGCAAUACUUGAUGGCGACCGGCAAACGGGUGAGGAACACGUACACAACCUUCCUUCAAGCGGGGAAUAGCCCAGAGAAAUUUGGAUUAAUACCCCAUAAUAUAUUUGAUAAGGCAUCUUAUUAAUAUUAAAGCUUCGGCACUUGAUGAUGGGUGUGCGGCUGAUUAGAUAGUUGGCGGGUAACGGCCCACCAAGUCUACGAUCAGUAGCUGAUGUGAGAGCAUGAUCAGCCACACGGGCACUGAGACACGGGCCCGACUCCUACGGGAGGCAGCAGUAAGGAAUAUUGGACAAUGGACGAAAGUCUGAUCCAGCCAUGCCGCGUGAAGGAUUAAGGUCCUCUGGAUUGUAAACUUCUUUUAUAUGGGACGAAAAAAGGGCAUUCUUGUUCACUUGACGGUACCAUAUGAAUAAGCACCGGCUAACUCCGUG
rnacentral:rRNA from 1 species